CUGUCGCCUCUUUGUAAGCCCUACUUCCUUUCUUCAUGUCUGAAUUUGGACCGGGGAUAAUGAGCUUCCUGCAUCGCACCCUGAGGUACAAGGAAACUCAUUGUACCCUAACCCAGGAAGAGUAUAUCAGGAAGUCUCCUGGAAAUGUUGGCUCAUUGUCCUUAAUCACGUUGUGAUAUUUGGAACUGAACAUACCUCCCCAAAGCGUUCUCUUCAAUUCUACUCACAAGCUUGGUAUUUCAGAUUAUAUACGGAUGUUGAACGUGAAAGAUUUUUCCCCACUUCACUUAAAACAUUUCAGGGUAAAUAACACCACAACUAUGUUUACACUGUAACAGAAUGAAAAGUCCUUUGGACCAGAUGUAAGCACACUGCAUACUGAACCUCCUCUCCCCAGGCCCUAUCUGCUCCAGAUAUAUUAUGGCAGCAAGGACUGCCAGCAGAAUGCUUGUGAGCAUUUCUGUGCUGGUGCGUUGAACCACCAAGCUCA